rnacentral:rRNA from 1 species
UCAGCCGCCGCGGUAAAACCAGCACCUCGAGUGGUCAGGAGGUUUAUUGGGCCUAAAGCAUCCGUAGCCGGUUGUUUUAGUUUUCGGUUAAAUCUAUGCGCUUAACGUAUAGGCUGCCGAAAAUACUGGACAGCUAGGGAGUGGGAGAGGUAAACGGUACUCAAUAGGAAGGGGUAAAAUCCUUUGAUCUGUUGAUGACCACCUGUGGCGAAGGCGGUGUACCAGAACACGUUCGACGGUGAGGGAUGAAAGCUGGGGGAGCAAACCGGAUUAGAUACCCGGGUAGUCCCAGCUGUAAACGAUGCAAACUCGGUGAUGCAUUGGCUUGUGGCCGAUGCAGUGCCGCAGGGAAGCCGUUAAGUUUGCCGCCUGGGAAGUACGUACGCAAGUAUGAAACUUAAAGGAAUUGGCGGGGGAGCACA